rnacentral:rRNA from 1 species
UACAGAGGUCUCAAGCGUUGUUCGGAUUCAUUGGGCGUAAAGGGUGCGUAGGUGGCGGGGUAAGUCGGAUGUGAAAUUUCGGAGCUUAACUCCGAAACUGCAUUCGAUACUGGCGUGCUUGAGGACUGGAGAGGAGACUGGAAUUCAUGGUGUAGCAGUGAAAUGCGUAGAGAUCAUGAGGAAGACCAGUGGCGAAGGCGGGUCUCUGGACAGUUCCUGACACUGAGACACGAAGGCCAGGGGAGCAAACGGG